rnacentral:rRNA from 1 species
AACGAACGCUGGCGGCAGGCUUAACACAUGCAAGUCGAACGAACUCUUCGGAGUUAGUGGCAGACGGGUGAGUAACGCGUGGGAACCUACCUUUAGGUACGGAACAACAGUUGGAAAACGACUGCUAAUACCGUAUGUGCCCUAUGGGGGAAGGAUUUAUCGCCUAAGGAUGGGCCCGCGUUGGAUAAGCUAGUUGGUGGGGUAAAGGCCUACCAAGGCGACGAUCCAUAGCUGGUCUGAGAGGAUGAUCAGCCACACUGGGACUGAGACACGGCCCAGACUCCUACGGGAGGCAGCAGUGGGGAAUAUUGGACAAUGGGCGCAAGCCUGAUCCAGCCAUGCCGCGUGAGUGAUGAAGGCCCUAGGGUUGUAAAGCUCUUUCAGCGAGGAGGAUAAUGACGUUACUCGCAGAAGAAGCCCCGGCUAACUUCGUG